rnacentral:tRNA from 2 species
GCGGGCGUAGUUUAGUGGCAAAACGAGAGUUUUCCAAACUCUGGUCGGGAGUUCGAUUCUCCUCGCCCGCU